rnacentral:rRNA from 1 species
GUCCACGCCGUAACGAUGGAUACUAGCUGUUGGGCGCAAGUUCAGUGGCUAAGCGAAGUGAUAAGUAUCCCACCUGGGAGUACGUUCGCAAGAAUGAACUCAAGGAAUUGACGGGCCCGCACAAGCGGUGGAGCAUGUGGUUUAAUUCGAUGAUACGCGAGGAACCUUACCAAGGCUUAAAUGUAGAUUGACCGUUUUGGAAACAGAACUUUUCGCAAGACAAUUUACAAGGUGCUGCAUGGUUGUCGU